ACUCCUACGGGAGGCAGCAGUGAGGAAUAUUGGACAAUGGAGGCAACUCUGAUCCAGCCAUGCCGCGUGUAGGAAGACGGCCCUAUGGGUUGUAAACUACUUUUGUACGGGAAGAAAUACAGUCACGUGUGAUUGUUUGACGGUACCGUAAGAAUAAGCACCGGCUAACUCCGUGCCAGCAGCCGCGGUAAUACGGAGGGUGCAAGCGUUAUCCGGAAUCAUUGGGUUUAAAGGGUCCGUAGGCGGGUAAUUAAGUCAGUGGUGAAAUGCAGGGGCUCAACUCCGGCACUGCCAUUGAUACUGGUUAUCUUGAAUUAUUGUGAAGUGGUUAGAAUAUGUAGUGUAGCGGUGAAAUGCUUAGAUAUUACAUAGAAUACCGAUUGCGAAGGCAGAUCACUAACAAUAUAUUGACGCUGAUGGACGAAAGCGUGGGAGCGAACAGGAUUAGAUACCCCUGGUAGCGACUGA
rnacentral:rRNA from 1 species